AUUUGACGCGCAUUGUGAGCUCGGUGCUCGCCCGCUCCCCGCUCCCUGUCAUUAAUUCCAGCCUUGCGUGCUGAAGUACAGUGAAGGAUGACGGCGAAAUCAUUGCCCCUCUUCAGCUCUGUUAUUGCACAAAAUAGCAGCGCAAUAAUUUUUUGUCAAUGUUUUACUCUAAAAGCUUUCUACGUCAGUUUUGAAAAGGAAGCAAUAAAGCCCAUUCAAUGGGUAAAAGCCAGACCUAGUGCAUUGUGGUACAGUAAAGACAGCAGAAGGGCUGGCUGGAGCAACAGUGGGGAGCGGCGUGUGGCACUGAGGACUGUACCCACCGAAAGGGCGCCUGGCUGCAUUUGUGUGCUUCUGCUUCUUGCCGUUCCGAAGUGGCCACGCGAUGCUGGCUUAAUUGUGGACAGUCUCAAGCUGUGCUCAGCACCUCGAAGGCGGCUGUGGCUGCAGGCAGAGCCCAGCCUGUGCCCCAGGACGCACACAUUCACAGGAGCGGCUGGCAUGCAGCAGGAGAACACAGAGGUCGGCGGCCAGGCAGGGCGACGCUGGACACAGAGCUGGGCAGGUAGGCUGCCGGGUCCCCGGGCUUCUGGGGCAGCAGCCUCGGCGGUGCGGGCAUGGGGAGAGCCGUGCCUGCUGUGAACUGUGGGACUUUGGCCCAGGCAGCUGUGCCACGGAGUCGGCACCUUGGGACCUUUGAGGGGACCGCGAUUGUGUGUGCCUGCGCUGGGCUGGGGUCCCUGGAGAUGCGGUGGGCCCACUGGGCACAGAAGGCUUCCUCUGGUGAAGUCUGCGCCUGCUGAAGUUGGCUCGGGAGUUGCUGUGCAGCGAACAGGCUGCUGGUGUGCGGUGAGGCUGCCGCUGUCCCUGCAGACGCCGCCCUGUCUGCUGCUUCCUGGACGGUGGUGAGUGACUUUCAUUUUCUACCUCAAGUUGGCAGAAAGUUGUGUUGUGUUGAUCGCAGAAGUGUGGCGUCGCCACCCGGGGUCGGACUGGCUGGGAGCGCUGGGCUGGGCCAGUCCUGUGCAAGGGAUUUUCCUUGUGGUUUCUGUUACCAUGGAACUUGGCGCUGUCGGCUUGAUUGAGGCAGAGCCGCUGCAGAGACCCGCAGUGCAAGAAAGGAAGGAGGCUUCUUUCGCAUUGAAUGCUCUGGUUGAUCUGAGAGUCUUUUUUGGUUGCAGCUCUGAGUUCUGUUUUCCUGGCUCUGGGUUUAGUUCAGUGAACAAGAACAAGGAAGGAAGCUGACCUGGUGUGAGUGUAGCGUGUGCGGGCUGCUGGGAGUGGACGGUCCCUCUGCAGCGGCUGCUACUUUCGCUCUGUGCUUUCUUCUGCGCUUUCUCUGGCUCAGCUGAGGGCUCUGCAAAAGCCGAUCUCCCUUCAGAGCUGAAGCGCUGGGCAGUUCCGAGCCAGGAAAGUUGACAGUUUGUAAAGGACCUGGCUCAGAGAGGACCAGGCCUGCGGGGGAUGUGAACAGAGCUGGAAAGCGAAUAAAGAGCCUGAGCCUUUAUUUGGUCUCAGAUGCGGCAGGCUGUGUGUGUUCAGGGUUGACGCCAGCUAUCAUGCGUUUUGGGUUGUUUUGGUGUUUUAACAAUGAAAUUACAGGCUUGACAAAGGAACUUUUAGAGGCGCAGGGGAGGCUGACAGUUGCUGUAAUAUGUGUCAUUAUCCAAUUAGUUUACGGGAGGGUUAUGUUUUUAUGCUUUACUUAACACACCUUGGUGUGUUUUCAGCUCUACCCAAUAUUACUUUCAUUGAAGUCUUUCUAAAAGAGGAUUCUUAUUGUGUAUAUUUUACUCUGCUGCAGUUACUGUUCUGUGCCUUUCAGUAUCACAAGCACCUUAAUAAAUUCUGAUUUUUAAUCUUUCUCAAGUUUGUCAAGCGGGAACCCAACGUUCGUGUGGCUUUCAUUACACACUUUGUCAAAACCCCCUACGAAUUCCUUCUCCUGCCAGCAGCCACGUGCGUGGCAGCAUUAUGCUUAGACUGUGGAAGAAAAGCUCGCUAAUUGUUAAAGAAUUACCUUUCAACUUCACGUAAUGGAAACUACAAAGGAAAGUUCACAGACCAUUUUACUACAGAAGAAAUGAUGAAAAUGGGUUUUAUUCAGCAUGGAAAUUGUUGGUUGGGUAGCACAGCUUCAACCUGAAAAUUCCAGUUUUCUUUGCUUUAACUCUUUGGUAGUCUGGGGGGAGUUUCUCCUGCUAGUCUGAGGGUCCGUCCACUUGAGGCGACCCAAGCCAGGUGCAGGGGAGACACAGGUGGGGCAGCAGGUGUCAGGGAGGGAGGGCGCCAGCCUGGGGACCUGGCCUCCUGCCGAGCCUCUCUCCAGCUGCUGAAGGGGGAGGGCAGCAGCUGUGCGCACUUGACCUGUCUU
ensembl:lincRNA